GAUGAACGCUGGCGGCGUGCCUAAUACAUGCAAGUCGAGCGAACAGAUGAGGAGCUUGCUCCUCUGACGUUAGCGGCGGACGGGUGAGUAACACGUGGAUAACCUACCUAUAAGACUGGGAUAACUUCGGGAAACCGGAGCUAAUACCGGAUAAUAUAUUGAACCGCAUGGUUCAAUAGUGAAAGACGGUUUUGCUGUCACUUAUAGAUGGAUCCGCGCCGCAUUAGCUAGUUGGUAAGGUAACGGCUUACCAAGGCAACGAUGCGUAGCCGACCUGAGAGGGUGGUCGGCCGCACUGGAACUGGGACACGGUCCAGACUCCUAAGGGAGGCAGCAGUAGGGAAUCUGCCGCAAUGGGCGAAAGCCUGACGGAGCAACGCCGCGUGAGUGAUGAAGGUCUUCGGAUCGUAAAACUCUGUUAUGAGGGAAGAACAAAUGUGUAAGUAACUAUGCACGUCUUGACGGUACCUAAUCAGAAAGCCACGGCUAACUACGUA
rnacentral:rRNA from 1 species